rnacentral:rRNA from 1 species
GAUGAACGCUGGCGGCGUGCCUAAUACAUGCAAGUCGAGCGAACAGACGAGGAGCUUGCUCCUCUGACGUUAGCGGCGGACGGGUGAGUAACACGUGUAUAACCUACCUAUAAGACUGGGAUCACUUCGGGAAACCGGCGCUAAUACCGGAUAAUAUAUUGAACCGCAUGGUUCAAUAGUGAAAGACGGUUUUGCUGUCACUUAUAGAUGGAUCCGCGCCGCAUUAGGUAGUUGGUAAGGUAACGGCUUACCAAGGCAACGAUGCGUAGCCGACCUGAGAGGGUGAUCGGCCACACUGGAACUGAGACACGGUCCAGGCGCCUACGAGAGGCAGCAGUAGGGAAUCUUACGCAGUGGGCGAAAGCCUGGCGGAGCAACGCCGCGUGAGUGAUGAAGGUCUUCGGAUCGUAAAACUCUGUUAUUAGGGAAGAACAAAUGUGUAAGUAACUAUGCACGUCUUGACGGUACCUAAUCAGAAAGCCACGGCUAACUACGUG